rnacentral:rRNA from 1 species
AGUGAACGCUGGCGGUAGGCCUAACACAUGCAAGUCGAACGGCAGCACAGUAAGAGCUUGCUCUUACGGGUGGCGAGUGGCGGACGGGUGAGGAAUACAUCGGAAUCUACUUUUUCGUGGGGGAUAACGUAGGGAAACUUACGCUAAUACCGCAUACGACCUACGGGUGAAAGCAGGGGAUCUUCGGACCUUGCGCGAUUGAAUGAGCCGAUGUCGGAUUAGCUAGUUGGCGGGGUAAAGGCCCACCAAGGCGACGAUCCGUAGCUGGUCUGAGAGGAGGAUCGGCGACACGGGAACGGAGACACGGUCCAGACUCCUGAGGGAGGCAGCAGUGGGGAAUAGUGGACAAUGGGCGCAAGCCUGAUCCAGCCAUACCGCGUGGGUGAAGAAGGCCUUCGGGUUGUAAAGCCCUUUUGUUGGGAAAGAAAAGCAGCAGGUUAAUACCCCGCUGUUCUGACGGUACCCAAAGAAUAAGCACCGGCUAACUUCGUG